UGUAGUGGUCUUACCAACUUGACACUGGCUGAUCUGGUCUCAUCUCGAAUGUUAAGCAGAUCUGAGCCUGGUUAGUACUUGGAUCAGAGACCACUCAGAAUACCAGGUGCCACAAUGG
rnacentral:rRNA from 1 species